rnacentral:rRNA from 1 species
CGUAACAAGGUCUCCGUAGGUGAACCUGCGGAGGGAUCAUUACACAAAUAUGAAGGCGGGCUGGAACCUCUCGGGGUUACAGCCUUGCUGAAUUAUUCACCCUUGUCUUUUGCGUACUUCUUGUUUCCUUGGUGGGUUCGCCCACCACUAGGACAAACAUAAACCUUUUGUAAUUGCAAUCAGCGUCAGUAACAAAUUAAUAAUUACAACUUUCAACAACGGAUCUCUUGGUUCUGGCAUCGAUGAAGAACGCAGCGAAAUGCGAUAAGUAGUGUGAAUUGCAGAAUUCAGUGAAUCAUCGAAUCUUUGAACGCACAUUGCGCCCUUUGGUAUUCCAAAGGGCAUGCCUGUUCGAGCGUCAUUUGUACCCUCAAGCUUUGCUUGGUGUUGGGCGUCUUGUCUCUAGCUUUGCUGGAGACUCGCCUUAAAGUAAUUGGCAGCCGGCCUACUGGUUUCGGAGCGCAGCACAAGUCGCACUCUCUAUCAGCAAAGGUCUAGCAUCCAUUAAGCCUUCUUUUCAACUUUUGACCUCGGAUCAGGUAGGGAUACCCGCUGAACUUAAGCAUAUCA